GCAUGCUCUAGAGGUCGAGGAGGGUGUCACCGGCGCUGACGAUCGGCGGGCGCUGCACACUUGCCCCGGAAGUGCUUGGCGCGGCGCGGCUGGGCGCUAAGAUGGCGGCGGCGUGAGUUGCAUGUAGUACGAGGAUCCCGGGGCUGCCGCAUUGCUCCGGCCCCGCCAUGGCCGUCACCAUCACCCUUAAAACGUUGCAGCAGCAGACCUUCAAGAUCCGCAUGGAACCUGACGAGACGGUAAAGGUGCUGAAGGAGAAGAUAGAAGCUGAGAAGGGUAGAGAUGCUUUCCCCGUGGCUGGACAGAAACUCAUCUAUGCUGGCAAGAUCUUGAGUGACGAUGUUCCCAUCAAGGAAUACCAUAUAGAUGAGAAGAACUUUGUGGUUGUCAUGGUGACCAAGGCCAAAGCUGGCCAGGGUAUCCCGGCACCCCCAGAGGCCUCACCCACUGCUGUCCCGGAGCCCUCCACACCUUUCCCUCCAGUCCUGGCAUCAGGCAUGUCUCAUCCCCCACCUACCAGCAGAGAGGACAAGAGCCCAUCAGAGGAGUCAACCACCACAACAUCUCCAGAAUCCAUUUCUGGCUCUGUUCCCUCUUCAGGUAGCAGCGGGCGAGAGGAAGACGCAGCUUCCACAUUAGUGACUGGCUCUGAAUAUGAGACGAUGCUGACUGAGAUCAUGUCCAUGGGCUACGAGCGGGAGCGGGUUGUGGCCGCAUUGAGGGCCAGCUACAACAACCCCCACCGAGCUGUGGAGUACUUGCUCACGGGAAUUCCAGGAAGCCCUGAGCCUGAACAUGGUUCUGUCCAGGAAAGCCAGGCGCCUGAGCAGCCGGCCACAGAAGCAGCAGGGGAGAACCCCCUGGAGUUCCUGCGGGACCAGCCUCAGUUCCAGAACAUGCGGCAAGUGAUUCAACAGAACCCAGCGCUCCUGCCUGCUCUGCUCCAGCAGCUGGGUCAGGAAAACCCUCAGCUCCUGCAGGUUAGGCUGGCUUAAAACUCAGGUUGAUUCUCCUGCUUCAGCCUCCCAAGUGCUGGGAUUACAGGUAUGAACCACUAUGCCGAGUUUCGGCACAUUUAUUUAACUUUUUUAUUUGUCUCACCAUGGAGCUCUGACUACUUUGAAACUCUUCUGUAGACCAAGUUGGCCUAAAACUCAAAUCCACCUGCCUCUGCCUCCCCAGUGCUGGGAUUAAAGGCAUCUGCCACUAUUUCCAUCUCCCCACCUUGGCACCAUUUAUUUCCACGGCUUAUUUCCAUGGCUGCAUGGCUGUUUAGCCAGAGCAUGCACCUUCAGAGUAUUUGACAGUUUGGUAUAAUAAGCAAGGGGUAUAACAUGGGACUUGGGCAUAGGUGAUGAGGACUGUGAAUUCUCACCCUUCUUCUUCUCACAGCAAAUUAGCCGUCACCAGGAGCAGUUCAUCCAGAUGUUGAAUGAGCCUCCCGGGGAGCUGGCGGACAUCUCUGAUGUAGAGGGGGAGGUUGGUGCCAUAGGUGAGGAGGCCCCACAGAUGAACUAUAUCCAGGUGACACCGCAGGAGAAGGAGGCUAUAGAAAGGCUGAAGGCACUGGGCUUCCCAGAGAGCCUGGUGAUCCAGGCCUACUUCGCGUGUGAAAAAAAUGAGAAUUUGGCUGCCAACUUCCUCCUGAGUCAGAACUUUGAUGAUGAGUGAUUCUGGGAGGCCAGGGCCUCCCCCCUUCCCUCCCUCCCCACUCCACAGACGUUUAUAAGAGAAAGUAUAUAUAUAUAUAUAUAACAUAUAUAUAUUCAUGUUUAAGAGGAAGAAUAUCAAAAACCAUUAAAAAAACAACAACAAAAAAAAACCCAGCCCAGCUUCCCACCCUCCUGAAGUGGCCCCCAUUCCCAUAUCAGUCCGAGAAGACCUGGGCCAGACAGCUGUCCCCGUCCUCUUAACAGCCCAGCCUACUCAAAAGUUGUUGGCAAGACCAUGAGGCGACAGAUGGGCCCCUCUUGGCCUCUGUCCCAGCUCCCUGCAGCCAGAUGGAGGGGCGCCUGCCUGCUUCCCCAUCCCUGAAGCAUCCCCAAGGACAACCCUCCUUCCUCCACCAUGAUGAGGGGAAGCUGGAGCCCUAAGCUUUGAUCCUCUAUUGGAGUGGCCCAGAUCUUUCCAUCUGGAGUAAGUCUAUGUUAGAAGCCAAAGGCCUUCUCCCCAGUCUGGCCUUGGCCUCCAGCCUGGAAAAGGGGUUAUCAUCAGUUCUGAAGGCCAAGGCCACCCCUUCCCCAGGACAGAACCACAUCUCUGAUAAAGGUUUUGACGUGAAUAAAGUUUUAAAAAUGAGCCCUAAUAAUGGUUCAUGCCUA